UACGUAGGGGGCUAGCGUUGUCCGGAAUCAUUGGGCGUAAAGCGCGUGUAGGCGGUCCGGUAAGUCCGCUGUGAAAGUCGGGGGCUCAACCCUCGAAUGCCGGUGGAUACUGUCGGGCUAGAGUGCGGAAGAGGCGAGUGGAAUUCCUGGUGUAGCGGUGAAAUGCGUAGAUAUCGGGAGGAACACCAGUGGCGAAGGCGGGUCUCUGGGCCGAUACUGACGCUGAGGAGCGAAAGCGUGGGGAGCGAACAGG
rnacentral:rRNA from 1 species